rfam:Ciona savignyi cont_27603, whole genome shotgun sequence.
GGUAGCAUGGCCGAGCGGUCUAAGGCGCUGGUUUAAGGCACCAGUCAUUUCGAUGGCGUUGGAUUCGAAUCCCACUGCUGCCA